rnacentral:rRNA from 1 species
CCUACGGGAGGCAGCAGUGGGGAAUAUUGCACAAUGGGCGAAAGCCUGAUGCAGCAACGCCGCGUGAGGGACGACGGCCUUCGGGUUGUAAACCUCUUUUAGUAGGGAAGAAGCGAAAGUGACGGUACCUGCAGAAAAAGCACCGGCUAACUACGUGCCAGCAGCCGCGGUAAUACGUAGGGUGCAAGCGUUAUCCGGAAUUAUUGGGCGUAAGGAGCUCGUAGGCGGUUUGUCGCGUCUGCUGUGAAAACUGGGGGCUCAACCCCCAGCCUGCAGUGGGUACGGGCAGACUAGAGUGCGGUAGGGGAGAUUGGAAUUCCUGGUGUAGCGGUGGAAUGCGCAGAUAUCAGGAGGAACACCGAUGGCGAAGGCAGAUCUCUGGGCCGUAACUGACGCUGAGGAGCGAAAGCAUGGGGAGCGAACAGGAUUAGAUACCCUGGUAGUCCAUGCCGUAAACGUUGGGAACUAGAUGUAGGGGCCAUUCCACGGUUUCUGUGUCGCAGCUAACGCAUUAAGUUCCCCGCCUGGGGAGUCGGCCGCAAGGCUAAAACUUAAGGAAUUGACGG